CUACACCUGCAAGUCGAGCGCGCCUUCGGGUGAGCGGCGGACGGGUUAGUAACGCGUGGGAACGUGCCCUUCUCUACGGAAUAGCCUCUGGAAACGGAGAGUAAUACCGUAUACGCCCUUUGGGGGAAAGAUUUAUCGGAGAAGGAUCGGCCCGCGUUAGAUUAGGUAGUUGGUGGGGUAACGGCCUACCAAGCCUACGAUCUAUAGCUGGUUUUAGAGGAUGAUCAGCAACACUGGGACUGAGACACGGCCCAGACUCCUACGGGAGGCAGCAGUGGGGAAUCUUAGACAAUGGGGGCAACCCUGAUCUAGCCAUGCCGCGUGAGUGAUGAAGGCCUUAGGGUCGUAAAGCUCUUUCGCCUGUGAUGAUAAUGACAGUAGCAGGUAAAGAAACCCCGGCUAACUCCGUGCCAGCAGCCGCGGUAAUACGGAGGGGGUUAGCGUUGUUCGGAAUUACUGGGCGUAAAGCGCGCGUAGGCGGAUUAGAAAGUUGGGGGUGAAAUCCCGGGGCUCAACCCCGGAACUGCCUCCAAAACUGCUAGUCUAGAGUUCGAGAGAGGUGAGUGGAAUUCCGAGUGUAGAGGUGAAAUUCGUAGAUAUUCGGAGGAACACCAAUAGCGAAGGCAGCUCACUGGGCCGCUAUCGACGCUGAGGAGCGAAAGCUAGGGGAGCAAACAGGAUUAGGUACCCUGGUAGUCCUAGCUGUAAACGAUGGAUACUAGACGUAGGAACUGGAUUGACGGUUUCUGUGUCGCAGCUAACGCGUUAAGUAUCCCG
rnacentral:rRNA from 1 species